GACGAACGCUGGCGGCGUGCUUAACACAUGCAAGUCGAACGGUGAAGCGCCUUCCUUUUGGUGGGUGUGGAUGAGUGGCGAACGGGUGAGUAACACGUGAGUAACCUGCCCCCUUCUUCUGGAUAACCGCAUGAAAGUGUGGCUAAUACGGGAUAUUCUGUGCCUGCUGCAUGGUGGGUGUGGGAAAGAUUGCGCCCUUUUUGGGUGUUUUUGGUGGGGGAUGGGCUCGCGGCCUAUCAGCUUGUUGGUGGGGUGAUGGCCUACCAAGGCGGUGACGGGUAGCCGGCCUGAGAGGGUGGACGGUCACACUGGGACUGAGACACGGCCCAGACUCCUACGGGAGGCAGCAGUGGGGAAUAUUGCACAAUGGGCGCAAGCCUGAUGCAGCGACGCCGCGUGAGGGAUGGAGGCCUUCGGGUUGUGAACCUCUUUCGCCAGUGAAGCAGGCCUGCUCCUUGGUGGGUGGGUUGACGGUAGCUGGAUAAGAAGCGC
rnacentral:rRNA from 1 species